UUUAAUUUUAGCAGCUCCGCGGGGUGCAGAGUACUGCCUCAACAUCAUCAGGAAAAAAAAGUUGGUGAGAGCCAGAGCUUGUUCCUAGUACAACUAUGUAUUAUCACCUGUGAUACACACCAGGCUCUGCAAAGGAGAAUCAGGUCCAAAGAACUGCAAGUCAUUUUGUUCAUCUAGGAAAAAAAGGAAGGCCUAAAUAGUUUCAGGGCUGUGAUGGAGGAUGUUACACUACAGACUGGGAGGCCAGUGGAGACCAAAUCCAGUACAAGCAGAACUGGGGCAGGUUGCAGAAC